rnacentral:rRNA from 1 species
AAGGCACGCUGACACGUAGGUGAAGUGAUUUACUCAUGGAGCUGAAGUCAGUCGAAGAUACCAGCUGGCUGCAACUGUUUAUUAAAAACACAGCACUGUGCAAACACGAAAGUGGACGUAUACGGUGUGACGCCUGCCCGGUGCCGGAAGGUUAAUUGAUGGGGUCAGCGCAAGCGAAGCUCCUGAUCGAAGCCCCGGUAAACGGCGGCCGUAACUAUAACGGUCCUAAGGUAGCGAAAUUCCUUGUCGGGUAAGUUCCGACCUGCACGAAUGGCGUAAUGAUGGCCAGGCUGUCUCCACCCGAGACUCAGUGAAAUUGAACUCGCUGUGAAGAUGCAGUGUACCCGCGGCAAGACGGAAAGACCCCGUGAACCUUUACUAUAGCUUGACACUGAACAUUGAGCCUUGAUGUGUAGGAUAGGUGGGAGGCUUUGAAGUGUGGACGCCAGUCUGCAUGGAGCCGACCUUGAAAUACCACCCUUUAAUGUUUGAUGUUCUAACGUGGACCCGUAAUCCGGGUUGCGGACAGUGUCUGGUGGGUAGUUUGACUGGGGCGGUCUCCUCCUAAAGAGUAACGGAGGAGCACGAAGGUUGGCUAAUCCUGGUCGGACAUCAGGAGGUUAGUGCAAUGGCAUAAGCCAGCUUGACUGCGAGCGUGACGGCGCGAGCAGGUGCGAAAGCAGGUCAUAGUGAUCCGGUGGUUCUGAAUGGAAGGGCCAUCGCUCAACGGAUAAAAGGUACUCCGGGGAUAACAGGCUGAUACCGCCCAAGAGUUCAUAUCGACGGCGGUGUUUGGCACCUCGAUGUCGGCUCAUCACAUCCUGGGGCUGAAGUAGGUCCCAAGGGUAUGGCUGUUCGCCAUUUAAAGUGGUACGCGAGCUGGGUUUAGAACGUCGUGAGACAGUUCGGUCCCUAUCUGCCGUGGGCGCUGGAGAACUGAGGGGGGCUGCUCCUAGUACGAGAGGACCGGAGUGGACGCAUCACUGGUGUUCGGGUUGUCAUGCCAAUGGCACUGCCCGGUAGCUAAAUGCGGAAGAGAUAAGUGCUGAAAGCAUCUAAGCACGAAACUUGCCCCGAGAUGAGUUCUCCCUGAGACUUAGAGUCUCCUGAAGGAACGUUGAAGACGACGACGUUGAUAGGCCGGGUGUGUAAGCGCAGCGAUGCGUUGAGCUAACCGGUACUAAUGAACCGUGAGGCUUAACCUUACAACGCCGAAG